AGUAAACUAAACGACAAUAAAACAACAACCCAGCCAUAUGAGUUGUCUUUUUCUAGAUUAUUCUAUAGAAAAUAUCUGCAUCCCAAACGACCAGCUCUUAGAGAAGACAAACAGACAGAGAAAUGGAUCCAACAUCUUCUCAUACUCCACAUAACCACUUGAUGAUUCUGUUUCGGUGUAAGCUUCAUCUUCAUCCCUGAUCGACUUCCGAUUCAGUUAGAUCUUGACCAACAUUUUCAUGAACAAGGGAGUCGCCCUCAAUUUCAACAUAUUUCAUCCCCAAAUCUCUACCCACAGUAACCGCCUGCAGACAUGUAAUGGCUUCAGCUGCGAAUCCGGAAGGAAUGUUGUCGUGGGCCAUUUUUUUUAGGCCAAAACAUCUCUUUUAAAAUUCCUAACUACGAUUCCCGAGCAUGAUCUGUUUUUACUGUUAUCAAAAGCAGCAUCAAAGUUUAUUUUAAAGAAGCCUUGUUUCAGAGGUCUCCAUAAAUCAGAGUCCGGACUUAAGAUCUCUUAUGUCCUUCAUGAAUCCAUUGAUUUCUAGCGGAUCAGAUAGCCCAAAUGGCGUAGACAAAGAUUCGACAUCCAUCUGUCUUACUGUUUAACAAGACCCAGGUAAACCGUUCCAUAAACUCCAUUUGGGAUAUAUCAUGAGACCAGGCAUACUCUAAUUUUUCCCAUGUUUCCUUUGUAACAACACAAUCGCGAAAAAUGUGUUCCCUAGUUUCCAGCCCUUGCAUGCAUCUUGGACAGACAACUUCAUUAGUUAAUCUUUUUAUUCUUAGAUUCACUAGUGUAGGAAGAUAGUUGAGAGUGACUCUCCAAGCUGUAAUAAUUAAUUUGGAAGCGAGGUCACUAUUCCACAGCUUCUUGUAGCAUUUAUUAUUUUCAAUCAGGUUGUAACUAUUAAUAUUUUGAGCAUUACCUUGUAAUAGUAACUUUUAUCCACUACGCACGGUAUACUCGCCGAAUGAUUCACCUCUCCGUACUAGAAAAUCAUCAUGAGGAAGAUGAGCCAGUGGAAUUUGCAGAAUCUUUUGAGCAUCAUCUUUAGAAAAUGUGUUCAAAAUCCACUCAGUUCUCCAUGAUCUAGUAGUACUGUCAAUAAGAUCCGUAACCCUUAUAAUAUUCUGCCUACUAACCAUUUGUCUGGUCAACAGGCCUUCAACAUUCAAAACCUAAACAUCGUCCUCGACUCUAAUGUCACGACCAGUGCCCACCCUCCAGUACAGUCCAGAUAGCAGGAGUCCUUUCGCAGCCCAUAUACUUUUCCAAGUAUAUGAAGUGUGUUUCCUCAUCUACGGUGCAACUACGUUGGAACGGCUCUCUCUCGGAAGAUUUCAUCCCAUCAAGAGGAGUGAGGCAAGGAGAUCCUCUUUCUCUUUACUGCUCGUUCUCGGCAUGGAAAUACUGGGACAUCUAAUUGAGGCAGCAAUUGAAGAAGGGUCUUGGGAACCAAUUAUGCUCUUACGUCGAGGUUUGGGUAUUUCACACAUCUUUUUUGCUGAUGAUUUUUUAUUAUUUGGCAUAGCAACUGAGCAAGGUGCAUAAUGCCUUAAGCAGGUUUUGGACAGGUUCUAUUUCUUAUCUGGCCACAAACUUAACAGGCAGAAGACCCAAUUGUUUUUCUCUAACAAUGUGACAGAAGAAGUAGCUGCAAACCUAUGUGGCAAUUUAGGGUUCUCUAGAGUUAAUGACUUAGGGAAAUAUAUUGGCAUGCAGUUCUUUCAUCACAGGGUUGGGAGUAACACCUUCCAAUUUAUUUUGGAUAAGGUGCGGAACCGUUUAAAUGGAUGGGAUGCUCGUAAGUUAUCAUUUGCUAGAAGACUCACCUUGGUGAAGUCUGUAUUAUUUUCAAUUCCCAAUUAUUUCAUGACCAUAACCCGAAUUCCAGUUACGAUAUGCAAGGAAAUCUAGAAGAUUACUUAGGGCUUUCUAUGGGGUUCCUCUAACGAAACUAAAAAAGUGUCUCUAGUUAGUUGGGAUGAUUGUUGUAAACUAGUGUUUAAGGGAGGGUUAGGAAUUCAACGAUUACAUAAUCAAAAUAAAUUGUUCCUUUUAAAACUGGGCUUCAAUCCGGUGACUAAUACGGAUGCACUGUGGGUACGGGUACUUCGAAGUUCGAAAUAAGUACAAUAUUCAUGGGGUUAUUCCGGAGGAAAUGCACCAUAACAAUUGUUCUUAUGUAUGGUGAUUCAUUGCUAGUGUUUGGAGUGAGGUGAAGCAAGGUCUCAUCUGGAUUAUUUAGGAUGGAAUGAUGGUUAACUUUUGGAACGAUGCCCGGUUGCGAGAAUCAGGUCCUUUAAAACUUCAGUACAUUGGAAGUGGUCCUCUUGAUGAAACCAUCCGUUUUUGUAACUUGGUGGAUGCGGAAGGAGAAUGGAAUUCCAAUUGGCUUCUAACAGUUCUCCCUAAGAAUGUGGUAGAUCGAAUACAAGUUAGCAAUCCUCCAUUAAGGAGUUCGAGGAUAGAUCGUAUUUCUUAAAAGUGGAUGGCUGCCGGAAAUUUCUCCAUCAAAGAUACAUAUAAGCAUUUUUGUUGUACUACCAGUCCUAAUCAAUUUGAGAAUGACAAAGUUAUUUGGAAAAUGAAGGCACCUUAAAGGGUACUAACUUUUUUGUGGCUACAUGUCUGGAAUAAACUUUUGACUAAUGAGGAGCAUACACGAAGAGGUAUGAAUUUCUUCCCUUUUUGUGAGCAAUGUGGUAAGGCAGUGGAAUCAACAAUUCAUGUUGUGAGAGAUUGUGGUUUUGUUCAGUCUAUGUGGAAGUCAUUAAUACCUAGUAUUAAAUGGAAUGUUUUCUUCAAUUUACAUGUUGGGCGUUGGAUACACUGGAAUAUCAUGAACGAGGGGAAUCUAAGAAUCAAUGAGGGCGAACGGCCAACUUUUUUCUCAAUUUUGACCUGGUUUCUUUGGAAGAGUCGUAAUGAAUUCAUUUUUAAUAAUGCUAGUAGAAGUAGCCAUGAAUUCAUUGCCUUGGCUCUUGUUUGGGCAAAGUCUUUUGGUUUUAGUAGUAACAUGGAACAGUUGGCCUGUUUUUCUAAAACGGAACAAGGGUGGCAGCGUCCUGAUCCUGACUAGAUUAAGAUUAACAUUGAUGGAUCAGUGUCAAUAAGCAAUACCAAAGCGACAAUAGGGGGAGUCGUGAGAGAUUCAAGCGGAAAUUGAUUGAUGAGUUUCAAUAUGGAAACAAGGGUGUCCAAUGUUUUCCAGAUUGAGGCAUGAGCGGCUGUUGAAGGCUUGAAGUUGGCUUGGUCAAAGGGCUUCACUCAGGUAGAGGUUGAUUGUGAUAAUGCCAUGUUAAUUGAUACUAUUCGAAAUGGUUUUACAUCAAUUAGUAACGUUGUAUAAGUUCGAUUAAUACAUGAAUGGUGCACUAAGGAUUGGAAAGUAAAGUUUAGACAUACAUUAAGAGAGAGUAACAAGGUGAUUGAUUGUUUGGCCAAGGCAAAAGUAGAGAAAUUAAAUCAAUUAGUCAUUCUCACGGGUCCACCAUAGUAUGUAAGAAGACUGCUAGAGGAAAAUGUUCAUAGAUCUCUGCAUGAGGAGGCCUCCAUCCCUAUACAUUCCUAAUUUUUAGGCAUAUACUUUUAUUUACUAUAAAUAUUUACUAUAAAAAGAUAAAGAAUAAAAUUUUCUCAUAAAAAAAGUAAUAUUUAUA